GACGAACGCUGGCGGCGUGCCUAAUACAUGCAAGUAGAACGCUGAAGAGAGGAGCUUGCUCUUCUUGGAUGAGUUGCGAACGGGUGAGUAACGCGUAGGUAACCUGCCUGGUAGCGGGGGAUAACUAUUGGAAACGAUAGCUAAUACCGCAUAAAAUGGAUUAUCGCAUGAUAAUCCAUUGAAAGGUGCAAAUGCAUCACUACCAGAUGGACCUGCGUUUUAUUAGCUAGUUGGUGGGGUAACGGCUCACCAAGGCGACGAUACAUAGCCGACCUGAGAGGGGUAUCGGCCCCACUGGGACUGGGACACGGCCCAGACGCCUACGGGGAGCAGCAGUAGGGAAUCUUCGGCAAUGGACGGAAGUCUGACCGAGCAACGCCGCGGGAGGGAAGAAGGUUUUCGGAUCGGAAAGCUCGGUUGUAAGAGAAGAACGAGUGUGAGAGUGGAAAGUUCACACUGUGACGGUAUCUUACCAGAAAGGGACGGCUAACUACGUG
rnacentral:rRNA from 1 species